rnacentral:rRNA from 1 species
UACAGAGGUCUCAAGCGUUGUUCGGAUUCAUUGGGCGUAAAGGGUGCGUAGGCGGCGCGGUAAGUCGGGUGUGAAAUCUCGGAGCUUAACUCCGAAACUGCAUUCGAUACUGCCGUGCUUGAGGACUGGAGAGGAGACUGGAAUUUACGGUGUAGCGGUGAAAUGCGUAGAUAUCGUAAGGAAGACCAGUGGCGAAGGCGACUUUCUGGCUGCUAACUGACGCUGAGACGCGAAAGCUAGGGGAGCGAACGGG